rnacentral:rRNA from 1 species
AUCAGAAGUGCGAAUGCUGACAUAAGUAACGAUAAAGCGGGUGAAAAGCCCGCUCGCCGGAAGACCAAGGGUUCCUGUCCAACGUUAAUCGGGGCAGGGUGAGUCGACCCCUAAGGCGAGGCCGAAAGGCGUAGUCGAUGGGAAACAGGUUAAUAUUCCUGUACUUGGUGUUACUGCGAAGGGGGGACGGAGAAGGCUAUGUUAGCCGGGCGACGGUUGUCCCGGUUUAAGCAUGUAGGCUGGUUAUCCAGGCAAAUCCGGAUAAUCAAGGCUGA